UAUUAUGAAAGGAAAAAUAGAUAAGGAAAGCUAAAGAAAAAAAAAAUCCAGAUGUCCAUCUUUCUGUGAGAAAGGCGACUACAAUGGAGAAAAUCAAAUUCAUUACUCAAGAUAAGUUGUUCUUUAAUGGGAUAACUGAUUCCGUGGGGCAAGAGUGUAUUGGCAUGUUCCUUUACGAAUCAAGAACCAAACAUGCAGAAGAUGAGUGGUUGAUUUGCGUGGUCAGAAAAGAGAACAUACAAAAAUCGAUCUUCUUUUUUUCUCGGGUUAAAUCGGAUGUUCAUUAAUUUGGUGAGAAUUCUCAUGUCCAUCAAAUGAAAUAUAUUGAAGGUGGACAAAAACACCUACGUAGAAUGAGAAAGGAAUUUGGACACAAGAUGCAAAAAUAUGAUAGAAGAAAAAAAAUAUGCAGUCGAUGAUGCAAACACUUGCAGUAGAGCAGCUAAGUAUCAUUUCAUAUGGUCAAUAUAUAUAUCAAAAUGUAGCAAAUAAGAUCUUGUGGUUAAUUUUUAAUUAUAUAACUGUAUUGUAUUGAUACCUGAUUUAUAAUGAUCUCUGUGUUUCUGUAUCCGUUUUUUACACUGAUAUAAUGUUCUAUAGUGACAGUUGCCUUGCAACAAUGGUAUAGUGUUUUCCUAUCAAUUGAUGACUUUCUUUUGUGUAAUGAUAUUGAACUUGCUAGUUAACGUUUUCUUUGAUUCUAUAAGGGAAUUGUUUUGUUCUUGAGCUGUGAAUUGUUUUUCGUUUUAUAAAGUUUUGUUUAUUUAUAUAUUGACUCUAUGUAAUUGUUUAGUAUAAACAGCAUAGAACAAUCAGUUGCAUUCUAAUGUUUCGUGUAAUAAACAUCCAUUGUAUAGAACAGGCUUUACAUCAACAGAUGACUUGCCAUGCCUUAAUAUACAUAAUAUAUUUUGUGAACUGGAAAUGAUUGUAUUCUGUUCUUCUCGUUUGAGUUAAUCAGGGUCAUUAAAGUAGUGAGAAAUGAGGUAACAUAAAUGAAGUUUUUCUAUGACGCUGAGCCACAGGAACGAAAGAAAGUCAAGAUAAAGGAGAAGUGAUCCGAUUUUGGAGAGAUGUACAAAUACAUAUACAAUUGACAUAUUUCGGAGAGAGGAUGACUGGAUGUGGAGGAAAGUCAUGCAAUUUUUUAGUUACAAUUAGUCAUAUUUGGCAAACAUUUAUUAGGUGGAAAAGACAAUGAAUUUUUUUCAUUUACUUUAUUAAAUAUUCAGUGGCAUUUGGACGUAAAUACUGUGCAACUUGUAGGGUAAGUCUAUAUGUGUACUUCUGUUUUAAUAAAGUAGAUAGUUGGACAUAACAUUUAUCAAUAGUUAAUGAUCGUGUUUUAAUAAAAUAGAUUUAAUAGAAUAAAUUCAUAUGUCAAUUAAUAAACUAUAUUUUUUUGUCAACAAUUAAUCUAUUUAUAUAAAGUUGCAUUUACUCUCUCCUCGUGAAGCCACCUCAGCAUCUAGGUCAUAAAUUCGAAAGCUGAUAGCAUGACACGUGUCCAUUUUAUUUGUGCACUACGUUUCAUUUAAUUGAAUAGUAUGAUCGUAUCUAAUAUUUGGGCUUUCUCUUAAGUUUAUUUGUUUUUGUGUGUAUGGGCUGGGAAAGUGGUGGGCUGCGGUUGAUUAAAUACAGGCCCGAAACCUGAAUAAAAAACCAUUGGCUUCUGGGUUGUCAUCUCUUUCUUCGUCGUUCAGAGACGUUUCAUCUUUGUCUGAAUCAUUUGUGGCAUCGAAACGCGCUUCUUCGUGAUUAAUGUCCAUUACUUCAGUCACCACGAUGUAGCCUUGAAUGCAUGCUUUGAUUAGGAGUCGGUGAACCUGAGCGUAUAAAUAUUAGAUCUACUAAAAGAAAAAGCUAUCCAAGUAAUAUGAAAGAUCGCCGGUGAAACAUAAUGAUCCUGGAGGUGGAUUUAUAUGACGUGAACCAGAGGUGCUGAACUCAAGAAGAACCUUGUUCUCUCUCGCUACAAAGCAAAGAAGAAAACUUGAAGAUGCGAUAAGCACGUCAGAUCUGAAUAAUCCAAGGUUCAUGUAGAUAUCAACACAAGAGUCAGGGUCAGAGAAAAAAAGAGAACCAACAGUGGAGCAAAUAAGGUGUUCCAAAAAAAAGUGAAAGAAAAAGCUAAGAAGAUCAAGAACAAUCCUACCAAACUUGGCCAUGGUCAUUACAACGAUCAUGAUGUGUACGAAGAAGAAUAUGGCAAGCACGAAUCAGAGUGGCACGGUGAGCCAGAUUUGUUAUUUACAUUUGAAAAAGACUUGCGCGUUAUGUUUUUUCGACAUUAACGGGUUCACUGUUUUAUGUCGGAAUGGCACACUGUAUACUCAUGGCGGUGUAUCUGUUCAUGUGUCACUGUGUCAUCCCGGGGAAGCUAAUUUCCAGGCACCGCCGAAGAGCGUUCCACCAGGGACAAAUUUUUCCCAUUGGUGUUUUUGGAUACUUUUUAUGGACACGAGAGGAGAGGAUAUAUACUCUGGAGAAGGACGUGAGAAGAGAGGCACCGUCUCAUCCUCCUAAACUACAUGACAUGUCGUAGAGAGAAUAAAUGAUCGAGGCUCAUCAGAUGGCAAGAAAAAACGCAUGUGUCUUUGUUAUCCGCAACAAAGAUGUAAUGAGGACGUGAUGUUUUUUUUAAAUAUUGGUUGAAGUUGCAGGCAAACCUUUGUCAAAAGUCUAAAGUCAUCUGUGAAUUGGCUUGAAGAGGCUGAGGAACAAAAAAUUACGAUGUUUCUUUUUCAUUUUGCUCUGUAAUCAUCUUUUUCUUAUAAACAUAUAAUUUUAGAGUGUA